UCCGAGUUGACCCCGGCAGUCUCCCAUGAGUCCCCACCAUCACGUGCUGGCAACAUGGAACGAGGGUUGCGCUCGUUGCGGGACUUAACCCAACAUCUCACGACACGAGCUGACGACAGCCAUGCAGCACCUGUGUUCCGGUUCCCUUUCGGGCACAGCCCCCUCUCAAGGGCCUUCCAGACAUGUCAAGGGUAGGUAAGGUUGUUCGCGUUGCAUCGAAUUAAUCCACAUCAUCCACCGCUUGUGCGGGUCCCCGUCAAUUCCUUUGAGUUUUAGCCUUGCGGCCGUACUCCCCAGGCGGGGUGCUUAAUGCGUUAGCUUCGGCACGGACGGAGUCGACACCGCCCACACCUAGCACCCAUCGUUUACGGCGUGGACUAC
rnacentral:misc_RNA from 1 species